CCCCAGAGAAGGAGAAGGAAAAGAGCCUUGUGGAUUUGAUGUCUAUCUGUAACCAUAACCCAGUUUUGGAGAACCCUUGCUUCUUUGCUGUGGUGUGGAGGCAGGAGGAAACAAUAGUGCUGACGAAGAGAGUACUUCAGCCAGAGUAUAUUCUUCAUAGCCCACCUCAGCCAGAUUCACCAUACAGCUUUGUCUCAAUCUGACCUAAAUCAUAAUUCUCCCGUACAAGGGCAAAGCUACAAUGGGUGCAAGGGGUAUCAUUGCUAUGAUGCCUGGAAAGCCUCCGGGGUCCUCCUCACCUGCACCCAGCUUGCUAAAUGAAGCUGGGAGAGACUGUUAUAGUCUCAGCAUUCCCGGUGCCAGCCACUGAAGAGUCAGACAGAGGUGGAACAGACGGAAAGAAGACUGGUGCUGUCAGCUGAAUAGUCUUCCCUUCCAACUGCAGACAAUAAACGAGAUGAAGACAUAAUGCUGAAUCGCAUUGCGGCUUUAACUUUUCUUUGUAUAUUUUAUUGAUGUUCUUGAUUAAUGAUUGUAACAUGAAUUAAAGGAAUAUUUUCAAUAACAA